rnacentral:rRNA from 1 species
UACGUAGGGUGCAAGCGUUAAUCGGAAUUACUGGGCGUAAAGCGUGCGCAGGCGGUUUUGUAAGACUGUCGUGAAAUCCCCGGGCUCAACCUGGGAAUGGCGAUGGUGACUGCAAGGCUAGAGUUUGGCAGAGGGGGGUAGAAUUCCACGUGUAGCAGUGAAAUGCGUAGAUAUGUGGAGGAACACCGAUGGCGAAGGCAGCCCCUCGGUC